rnacentral:rRNA from 1 species
AACGUAGGAGACAAACGUUAUCCGGAGUUACUGGGCGUAAAGGGCGUGUAGGUGGUUUCGUAAGUCUGGCGUGAAAUAUCUCGGCUUAACCGAGGCAGGUCGUCGGAUACUGCGGAACUAGAGGACGGUAGAGGCGUGUGGAAUUCCGGGUGUAGUGGUGAAAUGCGUAGAGAUCCGGAGGAACACCAGUGGCGAAGGCGACACGCUGGGCCGUACCUGACACUGAUGCGCGACAGCGUGGGGAGCAAACAGG